rnacentral:rRNA from 1 species
CCUACGGGAGGCAGCAGUAAGGAAUAUUGGUCAAUGGGCGCAAGCCUGAACCAGCCAUGCCGCGUGCAGGAUGACGGCCCUCUGGGUUGUAAACUGCUUUUAUACGGGAAGAACAGCAUCUACGUGUAGGUGUUUGACGGUACUGUAAGAAUAAGGACCGGCUAACUUCGUGCCAGCAGCCGCGGUAAUACGAAGGGUCCAAGCGUUAUCCGGAUUUAUUGGGUUUAAAGGGUGCGUAGGCGGCUUUUUAAGUCAGUGGUGAAAGCCUGAUGCUCAACAUCAGAACUGCCAUUGAUACUGAAGAGCUUGAGUACAGUUGAGGUUGGCGGAAUGUGUCAUGUAGCGGUGAAAUGCUUAGAUAUGACGCAGAACACCGAUUGCGAAGGCAGCUAGCUAAGCUGUUACUGACGCUGAUGCACGAAAGCGUGGGGAGCAAACAGGAUUAGAUACCCUGGUAGUCCACGCCCUAAACGUUGAUAACUCGUUGUUAGCGAUAUACUGUUAGCGACCAAGCGAAAGCAUUAAGUUAUCCACCUGGAAGUACGGUCGCAAGAUUGAAACUCAAAUGAAUUGACGG